rnacentral:rRNA from 1 species
AGCGAACGCUGGCGGCAGGCUUAACACAUGCAAGUCGAGCGGACCUUUCGGGGUCAGCGGCGGACGGGUGAGUAACGCGUGGGAACGUGCCUUCCGGUUCGGAAUAACCCUGGGAAACUAGGGCUAAUACCGGAUACGCCCUUGUGGGGAAAGGUUUACUGCCGGAAGAUCGGCCCGCGUCUGAUUAGCUAGUUGGUGGGGUAACGGCCUACCAAGGCGACGAUCAGUAGCUGGUCUGAGAGGAUGAUCAGCCACACUGGGACUGAGACACGGCCCAGACUCCUACGGGAGGCAGCAGUGGGGAAUAUUGGACAAUGGGCGCAAGCCUGAUCCAGCCAUGCCGCGUGAGUGAUGAAGGCCUUAGGGUUGUAAAGCUCUUUUAUCCGGGACGAUAAUGACGGUACCGGAGGAAUAAGCCCCGGCUAACUUCGUG